rnacentral:tRNA from 1 species
GCCUGGGUGACUCAGUCGGUUAAGUGUCUGACUUCGGCUCAGGUCAUGAUCUCGAGGUUUGUGAGUUCGAGCCCCACGUCAGGCU